rnacentral:rRNA from 1 species
CGAUAACCUGCCCUUAAGUUCGGGAUAACCUCGGGAAACUGUGGCUAAUACCGAAUAGCAAAUCAAAUCUGGAAUGAUUGAUUUUUCAAAGGUAACGCUUAAGGAUGGGUCGGCGGCGGAUUAGGCUGUUGGCGAGGUAACGGCUCACCAAACCGAAGAUCCGUAGGGGCUUUGAGAGAAGUAGCCCCGAGAAGGGCACUGAGACACUGGCCCUAGCCCUACGGGGUGCAGCAGGCGCGAAACCUUUACAAUGCACGCAAGUGUGAUAAGGGAACCCAGAGUGCUUAUGCAAUGCAUAAGCUUUUGCCAAGAAUAAAUACCUUGGAGAAUAAGUGGUGGGAAAGACUGGUGCCAGCCGCCGCGGUAACCCCAGCGCCACAAGUGGGAAUCGCGUUUAUUGGGCCUAAAGCAUCCGUAGCUGGUUCUGUAAAUCUCUUGUGAAAUUGUUGGACUCAAUCCAACGGCGCGCAGGAGACACUGCAAAACUAGGGACCGGGAGGAGUCAGAGGUAUGCUAUGGGGAGCGGUAAAAUGCUAUAAUCCAUGGUAGACCACCUGUGGCGAAGGCGUCUGACUAGAACGGGUCCGACAGUGAGGGAUGAAAGCCAGGGGAGCAAACCGGAUUAGAUACCCGAGUAGUCCUGGCAGUAAACUCUGCGAGCUAGGUGUCGCAUAUUCUUCGAGAAUGUGCGGUGUCGUAGUGAAGAUGUUAAGCUCGCCGCCUGGGAAUUACGGUCGCAAGACUGAAACUUAA